rnacentral:rRNA from 1 species
UCCUCUGACGUUAGCGGCGGACGGGUGAGUAACACGUGGAUAACCUACCUAUAAGACUGGGAUAACUUCGGGAAACCGGAGCUAAUACCGGAUAAUAUAUUGAACCGCAUGGUUCAAUAGUGAAAGACGGUUUUGCUGUCACUUAUAGAUGGAUCCGCGCCGCAUUAGCUAGUUGGUAAGGUAACGGCUUACCAAGGCAACGAUGCGUAGCCGACCUGAGAGGGUGAUCGGCCACACUGGAACUGAGACACGGUCCAGACUCCUACGGGAGGCAGCAGUAGGGAAUCUUCCGCAAUGGGCGAAAGCCUGACGGAGCAACGCCGCGUGAGUGAUGAAGGUCUUCGGAUCGUAAAACUCUGUUAUUAGGGAAGAACAAAUGUGUAAGUAACUAUGCACGUCUUGACGGUACCUAAUCAGAAAGCCACGGCUAACUACGUGCCAGCAGCCGCGGUAAUACGUAGGUGGCAAGCGUUAUCCGGAAUUAUUGGGCGUAAAGCGCGCGUAGGCGGUUUUUUAAGUCUGAUGUGAAAGCCCACGGCUCAACCGUGGAGGGUCAUUGGAAACUGGAAAACUUGAGUGCAGAAGAGGAAAGUGGAAUUCCAUGUGUAGCGGUGAAAUGCGCAGAGAUAUGGAGGAACACCAGUGGCGAAGGCGACUUUCUGGUCUGUAACUGACGCUGAUGUGCGAAAGCGUGGGGAUCAAACAGGAUUAGAUACCCUGGUAGUCCACGCCGUAAACGAUGAGUGCUAAGUGUUAGGGGGUUUCCGCCCCUUAGUGCUGCAGCUAACGCAUUAA